CUGAUAUUCCAGGGCUACCUUUAACUUCUAAGUUUACUACUUUGACAGGGCUGGGAGGCACAAGUAUAAAGGCACAUCUGACAAAACCCAUUUUGACUGAAACAGAAGAACGUUUUUGGAUGGAGAGAUUUUAUUAUGCACCAAAACAAACUGAAGAAACCUACCAAAGUAAUGAUGAUAAAAGUGAAGGCCCACACAAAAGGGACAGGGCCCCAUAGUAAGGGGAACCAAAGGGCAGACGAACUAGCCAAACAAACAGCAGUGGAAGGACGGGCGAUGAGGAUGCCGGGAGAUCUGUGCCUUGGAGAGGAAUUGUCAUC